GUGCCAGCAGCCGCGGUAAUACGUAGGUGGCAAGCGUUGUCCGGAAUUAUUGGGCGUAAAGCGCGCGCAGGCGGUCUUUUAAGUCUGAUGUGAAAGCCCACGGCUCAACCGUGGAGGGUCAUUGGAAACUGGGAGACUUGAGUGCAGAAGAGGAGAGCGGAAUUCCACGUGUAGCGGUGAAAUGCGUAGAGAUGUGGAGGAACACCAGUGGCGAAGGCGGCUCUCUGGUCUGUAACUGACGCUGAGGCGCGAAAGCGUGGGGGAGCAAACAGGAUUAGAUACCCUGGUAGUCC
rnacentral:rRNA from 1 species